rnacentral:rRNA from 1 species
AUACGGAGGGUGCAAGCGUUAUCCGGAUUUACUGGGUUUAAAGGGUACGCAGGCGGUAAUUUAAGUCAGUGGUGAAAGCCUACAGUUCAACUGUAGAACUGCCAUUGAAACUGAAUUACUUGAGUAUGGUAGAGGUAGGCGGAAUACAACAUGUAGCGGCGAAAUGCAUAGAUAUGUUGUAGAACACCGAUUGCGAAGGCAGCUUACUAAACCAUUACUGACGCUCAUGUACGAAAGCGUGGGGAGCGAACAGGAUUAGAAACCCUAGUAGUCC